GGCUCUAAUUGUCUCUCUUCAGAAGCAUUGUUUUGGUUGGCGAGAAUUUCGUAAAAAUAUCACCGUACAGCACCCUACAAUCAAUAAGGGCGAUCUUUCAUAAAAGCUAUAGCAAUAUUAUUGUUUGGAUGUGGAAAAGUGGGCAGCUAUCUGGUGAUUAUUCUAUUUCAAGCCUGAGAAUCUGCUCACUCGCUGAAAGCUGUGGAUAACAAGAGCAGAAACCGAAUUUUCACUCUUGGAUCAAGACGACACUUUAGGUCAGGAGCCAUUUAGGGUUAACACGCAUAAAAAGAAGAAGUGAGGUGAACGGUGGAGCUUAUCUGUCUCUUCUGACGAGGAUAGAGGUCCAUUCAAUUACUCAGUUAUGAAGGUUUCGGCAAUGCCGUGGUGAAAAUGUUCCUCUAUUUAGCUGCUUGGCACGUUAAAGGAUAUCAUGAAUUUUUCAUUAAAAUGAAAGGAGAAGUCGGAAGAAACUUUGACCUCAGGUGAGUUACAAAAUAUAGAUGUAAGGAUGUAAAUAAUUCUCCUUCUCGACUCAGUCACCAUAUAUGGAGGAGUCACUAUUUAGUUUAUUUGAUAAUGGUUAAAGAUUUUCCUUUAAUCCCAACCGCACCUAUUUGAACUAGAAGCCUCAACUUAAUCAUUCAGAGUUGAAAUAAACCAUUUUUUAUAAUGCAGUCAUCGCAAAGAAUACAACCACGUAAGAUAACGCGUGAACAUGAAUUCAAAUUGAAAACAGCAAAUUGAAAAUGCGUCAAAGCUUGCACCCCACCGAGAAAGUCCCUCGGCUGAUGAAUCUCUGUUCUUGAUAA
rnacentral:misc_RNA from 1 species